CUGGCCCAGACCGGUGGGGUGCCAGUCUCCUCAACCCGGAAGCUACCAGAGUUAUGGGAGGUGCCCGUGACUCAGCUCUCUGACCUGUUUCCUCGUCUGCAAAAUUGGGCAGCUCGUCUGCAAAACCUCCAGGAUCCUCCCCACUGUUCAUUCCAGCUUUCUGACAAACUCCACAUUUUAGGCCAGGGGGAGCCGCAGAGCUGAGCUUCUGUCCUCACUGUAAUCCAACAAGUGCUUGCAGCCAGGAGAGAACCCCUUCCUACUAUGAGCAGCCAGGUGCUCUGCUGUGUGGCCCUUUGUCUCCUAGGAGCAGGAGCCACGGAUGGCGGAAUCACUCAGACUCCAAAAUACCUGUUCACAAAGGAAGGACAGAACGUGACCCUGGAAUGUGAACAGAAUCUGGAUCACAAUGCCAUGUACUGGUACCGACAAGACCCGGGGCAAGGGUUGAGACUGAUCUACCACUCGCAACUUGUAAGUCAGAUCCUGAAAGGAGACAUCGCCCAAGGGUACAGUACCUCUAGGGAGAAGAAGGCACGGUUUCCUCUCACUGUGACAUCGCCCCAGAGGAACCAGACGGCUCUUUAUCUCUGUGCCAGCGCAAGCACAGUGAAGCACAGCAGGCCCUUCUCUGUGCGUAAACGUGCCUGAGCCCUGCUGCCUCUGCCGGGGGCGGGCUAUUCUCACAUCCCCCCGCCCUUUCUCCCACCCUGGCCAGGACCCCAAAGCUGCUGCCAUCAUUAGGCUCUGCGGGGUGGCAUGAAACUU